AAUCAACGCUGGCGGCGUGCCUAACACAUGCAAGUCGAACGCGAAAGGGGCUUCGGCCCUGAGUAGGGUGGCGAACGGGUGAGUAACACGUGGGUGAUCUACCUUCAAGUGGGGGAUAACGUCCCGAAAGGGACGCUAAUACCGCAUGACGUUCUGGGUUUGAAGACCUGGAAACCAAAGCUGGGGACCGCAAGGCCUGGCGCUAGAAGAGGAGCCCGCGCCUGAUUAGCUAGUUGGCGGGGUAAUGGCCCACCAAGGCGACGAUCAGUAGCCGGCCUGAGAGGGCGGACGGCCACACUGGGACUGAGACACGGCCCAGACUCCUACGGGAGGCAGCAGUGGGGAAUUGUUCGCAAUGGGCGCAAGCCUGACGACGCAACGCCGCGUGGAGGAUGAAGGCCU
rnacentral:rRNA from 1 species